CAAGCCUGAUCCAGCCAUGCCGCGUGUCUGAAGAAGGCCUUCGGGUUGUAAAGGACUUUUGUCAGGGAAGAAAAGGGCGGGGUUAAUACCCCUGUCUGAUGACGGUACCUGAAGAAUAAGCACCGGCUAACUACGUGCCAGCAGCCGCGGUAAUACGUAGGGUGCGAGCGUUAAUCGGAAUUACUGGGCGUAAAGCGGGCGCAGACGGUUACUUAAGCAGGAUGUGAAAUCCCCGGGCUCAACCUGGGAACUGCGUUCUGAACUGGGUGACUAGAGUGUGUCAGAGGGAGGUAGAAUUCCACGUGUAGCAGUGAAAUGCGUAGAGAUGUGGAGGAAUACCGAUGGCGAAGGCAGCCUCCUGGGAUAACACUGACGUACAUGCCCGAAAGCGUGGGUAGCAAACAGGAUUAGAUACCCUGGUAGUCCACGCCCUAAACGAUGUCGAUUAGCUGUUGGGCAGCAUGACUGCUUAGUAGCGAAGCUAACGCGUGAAAUCGACCGCCUGGGGAGUACGGUCGCUAGAUUAAAACUCAAAGGAAUUCGACGGGGACCCGCACAAGCGGUGGAUGAUGUGGAUUAAUUCGAUGCACGCGAAGAACCU
rnacentral:rRNA from 1 species